rnacentral:rRNA from 1 species
AUUGAACGCUGGCGGCAUGCUUUACACAUGCAAGUCGAACGGUAACAGGCCUUCUGGUGCUGUCGAGUGGCGUACGGGUGUGUAAUGCAUCGGAACGUGCCCAGAGGUGGGGGAUAACGCAGCGAAAGCUGUGCUAAUACCGCAUGUGAUCUGAGGAUGAAAGCGGGGGACCAGGCAGCAAUGUUUGGCCUCGCGCCUUUGGAGCGGCCGAUGUCAGAUUAGGUAGUUGGUGGGGUUAAGGCCUACCAAGCCGACGAUCUGUAGCUGGUCUGAGCGGACGACCCGCCACACUGUGACAGAGACACGGCCCAUACUCCUACGGUAGGCAGCAGUGGGGAAUUUUGGACAAUGGGCGCAAGCCUGAUCCAGCAAUGUCGCGUGCGGGAAGAAGACCUUAGGGUUGUGAACCGCUUUUGUACGGAACGAAAAGGCUCUGGCUAAUACCUGGAGCUGAUGACGGUACCGUAAGAAUAAGCACCGGCUAACUACGUG